UGAGGAAUUUUGCGCAAUGGGGGCAACCCUGACGCAGCAACGCCGCGUGAGUGAAGAAGGCUUUCGGGUCGUAAAGCUCUGUCGAAGCGGGAAGAAGGUGGGCUAUUUGAACAGGAUAGUCUAUUGACGGUACCGCAGAAGGAAGCACCGGCUAACUCCGUGCCAGCAGCCGCGGUAAUACGGGGGGUGCAAGCGUUAUUCGGAAUUAUUGGGCGUAAAGGGCGCGUAGGCGGUUGAAUAAGUCAGGUGUGAAAGCCCUUGGCUUAACCAAGGAAGUGCAUUUGAUACUAUUGGACUUGAGUAUGGGAGAGGGAAGUGGAAUUCCUGGUGUAGAGGUGAAAUUCGUAGAUAUCAGGAGGAACACCGGUGGCGAAAGCGACUUCCUGGACCAAUACUGACGCUGAGGCGCGAAGGCGUGGGGAGCAAACA
rnacentral:rRNA from 1 species